AGUGAACGCUGGCGGUAGGCCUAACACAUGCAAGUCGAACGGCAGCACAGUAAGAGCUUGCUCUUACGGGUGGCGAGUGGCGGACGGGUGAGGAAUACAUCGGAAUCUACUUUUUCGUGGGGGAUAACGUAGGGAAACUUACGCUAAUACCGCAUACGACCUACGGGUGAAAGCAGGGGAUCUUCGGACCUUGCGCGAUUGAAUGAGCCGAUGUCGGAUUAGCUAGUUGGCGGGGUAAAGGCCCACCAAGGCGACGAUCCGUAGCUGAUCUGAGAGGAUGAUCGGCCACACUGGAACUGAGACACGGUCCAGACUCCUACGGGAGGCAGCAGUGGGGAAUAUUGGGCAAUGGGCGCAAGCCUGAUCCAGCCAUGCCGCGUGAGUGAAGAAGGUCUUCGGAUUGUAAAGCUCUUUUAUUGGGAAAGAAAAGCAGCGGGAUAAAACACGGCUGUCCUGACGGUACCCAAAGAAAAAGCACCGGCUAACUACGUG
rnacentral:rRNA from 1 species